AACUUUGCACAUUGGCAGUAUUAUAGCUAAAGGUUUAUUCAAGAAGCAAUUAUUGCUAAUUGAAAACUUUCCCAAUACCUCACCAUGAUGACUUGUAAUAUAGUCAACAUUGGCAAUUUUUUAUAUUAUCCACAGAAA